GAGAUGCUAGCCUUAGAGUUCAGCUUUUUUUUAGAACCUUUCUUUACCUUCUUCUUACUGAUCUUAUCAACAUAAAGGACCUGAGCCUUUUCACCCUUGAAAUGGCUCUUUGCUGUUUUCAGCAUGUUCAGCAGUUCAGACAAGCUUAUGUUCAAUUUAUUCAUAUGAUAAUUAAUAACAAACUGAGAGAAAAAAUUAGGGAGAGACUGCAGGAUCAAAUCCUGAUUCAGUUCACCA
rnacentral:lncRNA from 1 species